GACGAACGCUGGCGGCGUGCUUAACACAUGCAAGUCGAACGGAAAGGCCCUGCUUUUGUGGGGUGCUCGAGUGGCGAACGGGUGAGUAACACGUGAGUAACCUGCCCUUGACUUUGGGAUAACUUCAGGAAACUGGGGCUAAUACCGGAUAGGAGCUCCUGCUGCAUGGUGGGGGUUGGAAAGUUUCGGCGGUUGGGGAUGGACUCGCGGCUUAUCAGCUUGUUGGUGGGGUAGUGGCUUACCAAGGCUUUGACGGGUAGCCGGCCUGAGAGGGUGACCGGCCACAUUGGGACUGAGAUACGGCCCAGACUCCUACGGGAGGCAGCAGUGGGGAAUAUUGCACAAUGGGCGGAAGCCUGAUGCAGCAACGCCGCGUGCGGGAUGACGGCCUUCGGGUUGUAAACCGCUUUCGCCUGUGACGAAGCGUGAGUGACGGUAAUGGGUAAAGAAGCACCGGCUAACUACGUGCCAGCAGCCGCGGUGAUACGUAGGGUGCGAGCGUUGUCCGGAUUUAUUGGGCGUAAAGGGCUCGUAGGUGGUUGAUCGCGUCGGAAGUGUAAUCUUGGGGCUUAACCCUGAGCGUGCUUUCGAUACGGGUUGACUUGAGGAAGGUAGGGGAGAAUGGAAUCCCUGGUGGAGCGGUGGAAUGCGCAGAUAUCAGGAGGAACACCAGUGGCGAAGGCGGUUCUCUGGGCCUUUCCUGACGCUGAGGAGCGAAAGCGUGGGGAGCGAACAGGCUUAGGUACCCUGGUAGUCCACGCUGUAAACGGUGGGUACUAGGUGUGGGGUCCAUUCCACGGGUUCCGUGCCGUAGCUAACGCUUUAAGUACCCCGCCUGGGGAGUACGGCCGCAAGGCUAAAACUCAAAGGAAUUGACGGGGCCCCGCACAAGCGGCGGAGCAUGCGGAUUAAUUCGAUGCAACGCGUAGAACCUUACCUGGGUUUGACAUGGAUCGGGAGUGCUCAGAGAUGGGUGUGCCUCUUUUGGGGUCGGUUCACAGGUGGUGCAUGGCUGUCGUCAGCUCGUGUCGUGAGAUGUUGGGUUAAGUCCCGCAACGAGCGCAACCCUUGUUCACUGUUGCCAGCACGUUAUGGUGGGGACUCAGUGGAGACCGCCGGGGUCAACUCGGAGGAAGGUGGGGAUGACGUCAAGUCAUCAUGCCCCUUAUGUCCAGGGCUUCACGCAUGCUACAAUGGCUGGUACAGAGAGUGGCGAGCCUGUGAGGGUGAGCGAAUCUCGGAAAGCCGGUCUCAGUUCGGAUUGGGGUCUGCAACUCGACCUCAUGAAGUCGGAGUCGCUAGUAAUCGCAGAUCAGCAACGCUGCGGUGAAUAAGUUCCCGGG
rnacentral:rRNA from 1 species